rnacentral:lncRNA from 1 species
CUGGGCCAUCAGGAGAAGCUGAAAGAGAAGCACUGCCACAGAGCCAAGAUUCUCAACCUAAAGCUUCGAGAGGCAGAGCAGCAGCGUGUGAAGCAGGCAGAGCAGGAGCAGCUUCGGAAGGAGGAAGGUCAGGUCCGUCUGCACAGCCUGGAGCCCCUGCAAGAGGAGGUCCUGCAGCUCAACCUCUAGUCAGCACAAAGACCUGCUGGAUGUGGACCUGGUGCCCUCCAGAUCCUGGGUAACCAACUGUAUGGCCUCAUCUCCGGCAUCAUUUUGCACCACCUUGGAAAGUGGUUUUCCCACAGCAGAGAACUAAGCUGAGGCAGAGCGAGCCCUACAGGAAAUGCGGGACCUCCUCUCAGAUUUGGAGCGGGAGAUCACCAGAGCCUCUCAAGUGAAGAAGAAGCAUGAAGAGGAGGCCCAGGUCAAGCUGCAGGAGUCAGCGGUGCAGCAGGGGCCAGGGGCUCCCACCCAGACCUCUGCACCCAGCCCAAGCCCAGCAGGAACACAGAAUGAAGAGCUGCAGGUGAAGGUACAAGAUAGCACGAUGCAGUGGUACCAGCAACUUCAGGAUGCUUCUGCCAAGUGUGUGUUGGCCUUCGAGGACCUGACCAGCAGCAAGGAUAGUCAGAUCAAAAAGAUAAAGAUGGACUUGCAGAAGGCAGCCACCAUCCCAGUGAGCCAGAUCUCCACCAUUGCAGGUUCAAAGCUGAAGGAGGUCUUACACAAGAUCCAUAGCCUUCUCUCUGGAAAGCCUGUUCAGUCUGGUGUCUGUCACUCUUAACCCUCAGGGGCUGGACUUUGUCCAGUACAAACUGGCAGAGAAAUUUGUGAAACAAGGGGAGGAGGAAGUGGCCUCUCACCAGGAAGCGGCAUUCCCCAUUGCAGCGGUGGCUUCUGGUAUCUGGAUGCUCCAUCCUAAAGUGGGAGACCUCAUUCUUGCUCAUCUCCACAAGAAGUGUCCAUACUCCGUUCCUUUCUACCCAGCUUUCAAGGAAAGGAUGGCUUUGGAGGACUAUCAACGGAAGCUUGGCUACCAAGUGACGCAUUCCAAGGUUGAGCAACAGGAUAACUUUCUAAAAUGCAUGUCUGGGAUGAUCUGUCUGUAUGCCGCCAUCAUCCAGCUCCAGUGGCCAUAUGGGAAGCGGCAGGAGGCUCAUCCUCAUGGCUUAAAUCAUGGCUGGCGCUGGUUGGCACAGGUCUUACACAUGGAGCCUCUCUCAGAUGUGACAGCCACCCUCGUGUUUGACUUCUAGGAGGUGUGUGGGAACGCACUCAUGAAGCAGAACCAGGUCCAGUUCUGGAAGAUGAUACUUCUCAUCCAAGAGGACUACUUCCCCAGAAUUGAAGCCAUCACGAGCUCAGGACAGAUGAGCUCUUUCAUACGUCUGAAGCAGUUCUUGGAGAAAUGCCUGCAACGCAGGGAGACUCCUGUGCCCAGAGGCUUUCUGACAACCUCCUUCUGGCGCUCCUGA